GGGAGGGAGGACCGAGGCCCGGGAGAUGUGUAGGACCGCCUCCUCAAUGAACACCGUGACCAAGGAGGACGAAGACGCAGAGAGAGAGCUGAGCGCCCUGCGGCCGGCACUCUGAGUGUGUGUGUGUGUGUGUUAAUUCACUCUGUGAGUGGAGGGACUCUGCUUCACUGCAUCAUCGAUCAGAAGCGUCCUCUAGUUUUAAAUCUAUAUUCUAUAUCUUUAUUAUAUUAUCGGUACGAUGGUGAUAAAUCUGUGAAUCAAGUCACA